rnacentral:rRNA from 1 species
CUCACCGGAAAGAGGUCAUCGGAAACUGGUCAACUUGAGUAGGGAAGAGGCAAGCGGAAUUCUUGGUGGAGCGGUGGAAUGUGUAGAUAUCAGGAAGAACAUCGGUGGCGAAGGCGGCUUGCUGGGCCCUUACUGACGCUGAGACUCGAAAGCGUGGGGAGCGAACGGGAUUAGAUACCCCGGUAGUCCACGCUGUAAACGGUGCGCACUAGGUGUGGGGGGUAUCGACCCCUCCCGUGCCGCAGUUAACACAUUAAGUGCGCCGCCUGGGGAGUACGACCGCAAGGUUAAAACUCAAAGGAAUUGACGGGGGCCCGCACAAGCGGUGGAGGAUGUGGUUUAAUUCGACGCAACACGAAGAACCUUACCUGGGCUUGAACUGAUAGGUAAACCCCUGGAAACAGGGACUGGUCGCAAGACCGACC